UGAGAUAUAGGAAAUGGCAUCUUCCUUUUAAAAACCGCCAAUAUGGCUAAUGAUGCCUACGUAACC
rnacentral:ncRNA from 2 species